rnacentral:rRNA from 1 species
CCUACGGGAGGCAGCAGUGGGGGAUAUUGCACAAUGGGGGAAACCCUGAUGCAGCGACGCCGCGUGAGUGAAGAAGUAUUUCGGUAUGUAAAGCUCUUUCAGCAGGGAAGACAAUGACAGUACCUGACCACGAAGCCCCGGCUAACUACGUGCCAGCAGCCGCUGUAAUACGUAGGGGGCCAGCGUUCUCCGGAUUUACUGGGUGUUAAGGGAGCGUAGUCGGUUGUGUAAGUAUGGAGUGAAAGCUCAGGGCCCAACCCCGGGACUGCUUUGGAAACUGGGUAACUGGAGUACAGGAGGGGCAGGCGGAAUGCCUGGUGUAGCGGUGAAAUGCGUAGAUAUCAGGAGGAACACCGGCGGCGAAGGCGGCCUGCUGGACUGAAACUGACGUUGAGGCUCGAAAGCGUGGGGAGCAAACAGGAGUAGAUACCCCUGUAGUC